rnacentral:ncRNA from 1 species
CCCCCUUGCGACCGCUUGGGGGAACUGACUCCGGUACCUGACACGGCCGGUGCAG